UACGUAGGGGGCAAGCGUUAUCCGGAUUUACUGGGUGUAAAGGGAGCGUAGACGGAAUUGCAAGUCUGAUGCGAAAAUCCGGGGCCCAACCCCGGAACUGCAUUGGAAACUGUAUUUCUAGAGUGUCGGAGAGGCAAGUGGAAUUCCUGGUGUAGCGGUGAAAUGCGUAGAUAUCAGGAGGAACACCAGUGGCGAAGGCGGCUUGCUGGACGAUGACUGACGUUGAGGCUCGAAAGCGUGGGGAGCAAACAGG
rnacentral:rRNA from 1 species